ACGCGGGUAUAAGAUAUGAGCAGUGUGCAGAUCGUUUGAGCAGCUAGCAACAAAUUACAAGAGGGUGGCAGCUAGCUAGUUAGGCCGGAUGGCGCGGCUGCAGCGACGACGUCUGGUGCUGGCGCUCCUGCAGCUCGCCGUGGCGCUCUGGUUGGCGGCUACCAGCGGCUGCUUCUGCCGCCAGCCGCCGAGUCCGAUAGCCGGCGUCUCGUCGCCGCCGAUUCUGCCGGACGGCAACCGGCCACCGAAGUCGCCUCCAGCUCCCGCAUCCGCACAACACAUGAACCGCUCCUUUCAGCCGGGCUGCCCGCCGGAUUGCACCGACCAGCAACGUCAGCCUUAAUUAGUUAUGGACUAUCAACGACGUACGUUCAGCAUAUAUACUCUGGUUGCAAACGUGUUAGUAUGUACUCCACUCUGUAAGUUCGUUCCGAUUUCAAAUGUAAUAAUGCAAAUUUAGCGCAUUGUAUUCUCAACUACUUGUAAGUAUAAUUUCUAUUUUACUAGUAUAAAUGUAGGGCCGAGCGAUCAGAUUGGUACAUCUUCAAAAACAAUAUCCUAGACUUGAUUAAUUAUAUGUAAAAACGCUCAAAUUAAUUACUGCCUCUCCUUUCAUAAAAGUUACACCUAUUACUUUUAUCCAGUGGCGGAUCCCGAAAAUUGGUUCGUUGGUGUCAUAGCGUGUCUAUCGGUGUCAUAGUAUACUAAUUAUGCUUAGAACAUGAUGUUAUAGUAUAUGGAUAAGCAGUUUUGUUAUUGGUUUUGCCGAAAGUCGUCGGUGUCGCCUGACACCGAUGAUUAUACUGUAGAUCCGCCCCUGCUUUUAUCACCAAAACUUAUAAGAAAUUGGACUCUAUGUCAUCUCCCUUCCAUGCAUCGUGCAUAUGCAGGCUAUGACUAUCUCAAUGACUCCAAAACUGUACCUGGUGGAACAGUGGGAAAUUCAGCACCCAUAUACAUAUCCAUUAGUUUCCUUCAAACUUCCAACUUUUCUAUCAUAUCAAAUGUUUGGAUAUAUGUAUGGAGGCAUUAAGUAUGGAUGAAAAAAAACAAUUGCACAGUUUGUAUGUAAAUUGCGAGACGAAUCUUUUGAUCCUAAUUACGCCAUGAUUUGAUAAUGUGGUGCUACAAUAAACAUUUGCUAAUUACGGAUUAAUUAUGCUUAAUUGAUUCGUUUUGCAGUUUGUUUUGUUAUUAGUCUACGUUUAAUACUUUAAAUGUGUGUCCGUAUACAUCAAAAUGUUUUUGCCAAAGCAACUAAACACGGCCAUAUUUGGUUUGCCGUUGGUGUAUUGUGUUAGUUAUUAUAUGCUUAUUUUUCAAUUUAAGUUUAUGCGAAAAAUUAAAGCCUACAAUUAGUACAUAUUUUCAUGCAUGAAUCAAAAUUACAAUGUGCGAAAUCCAAGUAAUUAACUCCUAUAAGUCGCUGGGCUUUCCAAUCCCACCCCCCUCAACUUAAUUUGUUCAAAACGUACUCCCUAUAAAUCCACUUACUAUUCCAACUUCCCACCUCUCUAUCUCUAGUUUUCAUUGAUUCCUCGUCACACAUAGAGAUUUCUCGCAUCCCAUGGAUCUCAUGAUGGUGUCGGUAAAGUUGCUCCUUAUAUCUUCUCUCCUUUGGAAUGAGAUUUAAUACACCAUUUUCUUGUAGCAUGUGAUAAUUAUCAUGUUUCGUUACCUUACCGUUUGUGGAAUUAUUAAAGCGUGCAACAGCGAAAGGUGCAAGGAGGAUUAGGUGUACACCUUUUGUGGAAUUAUUAAAGCGCGUGCAACAGCGAAACAUGCAAGGAGGAUGAGGUGUACAACUUUGGUUUAAAGGGACAACUUUGCAGUUUGCACACCGUGAUGGAGGUCCAUGGAUCAUGAGAAAAAUAGAUAGAGGUGGAAAGUUGAAAAAAAUAGGAGUGCACGAAAUUAAAUUAUAAGAAGAGACUGAAAAUACUAGUGACUUGUAGGGGUAUUUGGAUUUUCCCCCAAUUACAAUUUGAUAGAAGAUUGAAGUGCACACAGGCCAUCCCUAAACUUGCAUAGAUGUAUCAUCUAGAUCCCUGAACUCUCAACAAAUAUAUUUUUGAGUCGUCGAAUUUAUCUUUGAUGUCAUAUAGGUCUAAACGGGCUCCAACCUCCUCCGUGCGCCGACGUGGCAUGCCGCAAUGGAAUGUUAGUAGGAUCCACAUUUUAGUCACAUAGAAAAAAUAAAAUUGAAAAACAUCUUUUCUCCUCUUAGGUUAUAUAUGCUAGCAAAGGAUAUACAGGUAUGAUCAAAUUAACUAGGGAUUAUCCAGCACAAUUUUAUAUGGUGCUAGAUUUUGAGAUACAAUUAGACAAUUCUUAUAUUUUAUUUAUAAUCAUACAACAUUAUUUCUACAAAAUAGAACUUAAACAUAUAAUUGGAUUCCGAAUACAAUAUGUAGCUUCUAUCUCUUAGAUAUAAUGGUAUUUUGUACGCAUGCAAUUAUGAUCGAUCAAUUUGCAACGGUAUAAUAUGGCCCACCAAAGUCUUAUGGUUCGAACCCUUUUCUUUUUAUCUGAGUAAUGUGGAAAUUUUUAACCUUCUAAAUGAGACGAACGUAGUGACUUCUUUUUGAAUUAUCAAUAUAACAUAACACUAAUGAUAUAAUAGAUUAUCUAUGAUGUUGAUAGUGCUACGGGGGGUAUGCAUUAUGAAUCAACUUGUAUCACAAUAGUGUGAGAGAGAACAAACUUUAGUCAACCAUACAUGUACACUUGUGUGAACCACCUGCUGCUGUCAAAUCCUGAGUACACUAGUGUUCUGUUUUUUCUUCAUUGAGAGCUUUCUGGUUUCUGGCCAAACCACGGAGUUGUGUUGGACGAACAUAGAAAAUCAAGCACACCAAAAGCUGUCCAUUUGUCGUAUAUAUCACUGUCAACGACGACGACGACAUCAAUCAUCAAUGGAUCGGUGCAUGCACUCGAUCGAUCGCCUCUAUCUACAAAUCUUUGCAAGUGUGUACGUGCAGACGAGCCGGCCGAUGAUCCACUGCCACCGAUCGAGCAGAUGAGCAGGCAGCCAGAACUAGCUAGCUAGGUAGGUGGUGUUCAGCGUUUAUUAGCAAAAAAGAAGGCCAUAGCGUUUAGCGCGCGUCGGCGAGAUGGCGCUUCUGCAGCGACGUAGGCGACACCGUGUGUUCGCCGUCGUUCAGCUCCCCCUGGCGCUGUGGCCAGGGUUGGAAAUUUCGGACCGAAAUUUCGGUCAUUUUGGUCCCCUCCGAUACGAUAUUAGUUUGGCCGAAAUUUUUAAAAUUUUUAAUUUUUUCAAGAAUUUGGGUAAUAUUUGUUUAAAUUCAACUAAAUAUUGUUUAAAUUUUGGAAAUUUCGGAUCGAAAUUUCGGGAUUUCGGUGACCCCCGAUCAAAAAGCCCUAAACCGAUAUAGUGAAACCCUGACUGUGGCUGGCGGCGACGAGCGGCUACCGGUGUAAGAUGGGAGUCGCCCCGCCGCCGGCGGUGGGCCAGCUGGUGGUGGACGGCAGCCGUAUUCCGACGAGCCCUCCCUCUCCACAGGUGCACUGGCCAUGGCGCACGCAGCCAGAGCCGGCGCCGACGCCGGUCUGCCCGCCGGAGGGUUGCAUCGGCGGCGGCCACCCGUCUGGCCGACAGCCUUAGUUAUCAGAGAUUUGGAGCAACCAAAGUGUCACUUGGGAAGUCCCAAUGGACUACUGUGUGGCUAUGAUACGUACGUGCACACAGUAGUUUCGUAUAAGUAUGUAAUUAUCUGAUCUGAAUAAAUUUGGUGCACGUUAUACAUCACCAAUUUGCAUCGAUUGAAAGAUUGUUAUUACUUAUUACACUACUACAUAAUUAAUUUUAGUGGAAAAGAUCCUCUUUAAUUUGUAGUGGAUCAUAACUGCUCGCAUCUGCAAAUGUCGCUUCCCAUA